GUUUGGGCGCCGCACCAGUUCACUGUUCAUGGAAAAUUGACGCCUUUUCCGUGAAAUAAAUAGGUCAAUAAGAUAGACAUUGUUCGUUACACCGCUGUAAUCUGGUCGAGCGGUAGGGUUUUCUCGGAUAGGAACUAGAAAGAUUGUUCGCGGAUAGUCGUCGGUUGUCUCGGUGUUGCGCGGUAUUGAUAGUAGAUCUUGGCGUUUUUUCCUUACGAGCUUUAUUCUUUUCCUUCGCGAAGCAAAUGUGUUCAGUUUUUUUGUUCCCAUCAUCAUCAAUAUCAGCAGUUAAAGCAGUAGCAGUAAGGUGAGGUGUAACAAGAGUUUUUCUUCAAUGGAAGGAAAAUUUCUCGCUCUUCACUGACUAAGGCAUCGUUUGCUGUGGCUGGAAAAUUAGGAUCGAAGAAUGUUGUUUCCUCAAAAAACAAGUGAUAAAUUAUUGAGAAGAGCUAAUGUGAUGUGAAUCAGGGUGGAAUUAUAAUCAAAAUGUGUGAUUGAAUAAAUAAGCAAAGAAGUUGGCCCAUAAAGUCGUCGACUGUUCUGUUUUGCCCUUUUCCAUUUCGUUCAUUCUCCUAAUGGUGGAUUGGGAUUGCAUACAGGUUGAAAGUGGUCGCUAGCAGGCGUUAGGAAAAAGAUAGUGUUUUUAAUAAGGAAACAGUGAAACAUACAUAAAUCACGAGAAAAGGAAGUGCAUUGUCAAUCGUUGUAGUAAUCUGUCGAAGGAAAAGUCUUCGAGAAUAGCUCUGAUAAAGGAUACAGGAUAACGAUUUUCCACUUUCCUCCUCCAGUCGGAAGUCGAUUUAACCUGCUAUCAAUCAGGAUUGUGGAGUGUCCGUCAUCUCGUUAGGUAUCGCCGAUCAUCAAUCAUCGUAGAUAUUGUCGCAUCAUCGUCAUCAGAAACACCAACAGCAUCAUCAACAGGCACGAAGAAGGCAAAAACAUCGUAUAAAGGAGCCAGCCCACGCGAGAUAUCACCAUCAUCAUCGUCAUCGCACUUUCAUCAUCGUCACUGUCAUCUGACCCUUAUCAGAGUGCUCUACAGCGAACAGUAGGCAAUAGUAGUAGCAGCAGCAGCAACAGCAACAACAACAACAACAAAAUAAUAAAACACCACAAACUUCGAAGAGGGAAAGCGGAGCAAACGAGUUCGCGCGAGAGCAAGAGAUAACGACCUGGCCAGGAAUCAUAAUACCUAAUUUAUUAUCAACGAGAAAGUUCAAGGAGAAACAGAGACAGCGACAUAGAGUUUUUUUUGUUACCGCGCGCACCUUGGUCACGACUGCAUUGUGCACACGGGGCAGGACACAGCUGAUCUGCUGCUGAGUGACCAAAAGGUACCUGAAAAGCGCGCCACAGCAAUAAUUGUUACAUUUAGUAACCAGCAUAAACGGCACUAUUGAUCAAAGCUUGUGAACGAAACUAGGCUAGGCACACUUGCGGCGGUAUAACGGGCGAUGGCGUUUGCGGUUACGAGGGCGGCCGGUGUCAGCCCAUCCUGUUCGGUAGUGAUACAGUCGUAGAGCCAGAAGUUGUUUUAAGCGCGAAACAACUUCUACCGCUACCUUUCAAAUUGGAAUGUCCUGCAGCGUAGACGGGCUGCCGGCGGGGUGUCGACUCCGUGGCAUGGGCUCGACCGUUCAAAGUGGUCCACUUAAUUCGGCUUUGAGUGGAACGCAGGAAACAACAUCCAAUGUUGUACCACUACAACGACCACCUUCGCAGAAGCCGUGCUGCUUCUGCUGGUGCUGCUGCUGUUCUUGU